rnacentral:rRNA from 1 species
GAUCCUGGCUCAGGAUGAACGCUAGCGACAGGCUUAACACAUGCAAGUCGAGGGGCAGCAUGAGGUAGCAAUACCUUGAUGGCGACCGGCGCACGGGUGAGUAACGCGUAUGCAACCUGCCCGAUACCGGGGUAUAGCCCAUGGAAACGUGGAUUAACACCCCAUAGUACUUUUAUCCUGCCUGGGAUGGGAGUUAAAUGUUCAAGGUGUCGGAUGGGCAUGCGUCCUAUUAGUUAGUUGGG